UGUGUAAAUAAUUAAAAUUUUAAACAUACUUGUAUUUCAGCUACAUUAACUCAGCCAGUAAUGUUUAUAUCCAUGUGUCUACAUGUGUGUUUAGACUGGUAUGGUACGCUGUGAACACUGCUGUUGGGACACCUGAUUACAUUUCUCCAGAGGUUUUAAUGUCUCAAGGAGGGACUGGUUAUUACGGUCGUGAGUGUGACUGGUGGUCUGUUGGUGUUUUCAUUUAUGAGCUUCUAGUGGGUGAGAAGUGUCAGCUUCAUAUGCAUCUCUUGAAGUUUUAUUUCAGUGUUCUCAUAAUCAAAUGUUUUCUUCUGUCGAUCUGGGCAGGCGACACUCCAGUUCAUUCCGAGUCUCUGGUGGGCACAUAUGGAAAGAUCAUGGAUCACAAGAACAUCUUAACUUUCCCAGAUGAUAUUGAAAUGUCAAAGGAUGGCAAAGACCUCAUCUGUGCCUUUCUGAGUAGCAAGGAGGUGAGGCUUGGCCGGACUGGAGUGGAUGAAAUAAAAUGUCACCCCUUCUUCAAGAACGAUCAGUGGACCUUCGACACCAUAUGAGACACAAAAAAAUGCCAAAAACAGACACCCAAAACCCUACGCAUGCUGCGCGACACAGGGGCGUGAACCUGCAGGACCCAGACGCACAGUCCACUCGAAGCUGCUGUGGGAACUAAAGGCCUGUCAACACUCCAUCAUGAGAGACCACGACACCUUCUCCUCCCUAAAAUCCCACCCUUCACCCUUUCACCUCCCAAGACGGAUAAGGAAAGAGAAAGAAAGAGAAAGGAAUACCAGGAAGAGCUCAAGGAAAACGCCUCACUCGUGCCACAAAGAGAUUUUUCAAGGAAGACUUCUGGUGGACGGGGCUGAAAGCGAACGGACGAUGGACUCUGUCAUGUCUAGCAGUAAAUAUGGAUUCUGUAUUACUUUCAAGUCAACAAGAAUUUCCACCUCAGUUCAUCCUCAUUAUGCAAGCACCAUGUAGAGAUAAAGGAUUGGAAAAGAGAUAAAGGAACACAGAAUGGACUGAAGAGUUAUUAUUAACCAACAAACCUUCCCAUUCUCAGCCCCUGGAAGGGUCCGUAAUGCCCCUUUUAACAUUCAGAAGUCUUCAAGCGAAAUCUACACUGAGUAUCCAUAUGGUCUGGGCUCUCCCAUUUAAUCUCAACUCUAACACUGGAAGAAAGUCAGCACCUUAAACUUAAACUAACUCUUCAGUUAUUCAUCUAUGAGCCGCAUCUACUAAAUUUAUAACACAAAGGAACACGGAAGCAGAACUUCAUAUGUUUUAUUUCAGCUUUAUUUAUUACCUUUGUUUGAACUGGUCUCCCUUUGCGCAAAUAUUGUGGGAAUGCAGAUUUUUGCCCACAAAGGCCCUGAAAAAGUGGAAAAAAACAGAAGUGCCUACUCCGUUUUUUCCGUGUUCUUUGUUUUGGGCUUGAUUGAGGUCGGCUGACCAUCUUAAAAGUAGCGGUUUUGAGACGAUCCCGAGGUAUACGGGCAAUAAGCUGUGAGAAUAACUUGCGGAGCGUGCUAGUAAACAGAGGAGUCGUUUCAGUUUUGUUUUAUGAAUGCUGUUUGUUGAUGUGUAUUAAAAAGAAUUUUAUUUCAGAUUGAUUUUAGUCAGUAAUUUAAUGGGUUACCAAUACAUUUAUAUGGUCAUUUAGGGAAUGAAUUAGGUAUCAUGAUAAGGUGUCACACAGCUAGAAGUCAUUUGUCAUGUGUCUUCAGGUCCACCUUUUUUGUGGAAUAAGAUCUGAUCUCGUUAACACCUCUGUCAAUUUUAAAUAAAGCUGUGCUGUUCUGCUAUGAAUGAAACGUG